rnacentral:rRNA from 1 species
AAUAGAUACCCCGGUAGUCCACGCCGUAAACGAUGAAUACUAGGUGUAGGAGGUAUCGACUCCUUCUGUGCCGCAGCUAACGCAAUAAGUAUUCCGCCUGGGAAGUACGAUCGCAAGAUUAAAACUCAAAGGAAUUGACGGGGGCCCGCACAAGCAGCGGAGCAUGUGGUUUAAUUCGAAGCAACGCGAAGAACCUUACCUAGACUUGACAUCCCCUGAAUUACCUGUAAUGAGGGAAGCCCUUCGGGGCAGGGAGACAGGUGGUGCAUGGUUGUCGUCAGCUCGUGUCGUGAGAUGUUAGGUUAAGUCCUGCAACGAGCGCAACCCUUAUCAUUAGUUGCUACCAUUAAGUUGAGUACUCUAGUGAGACUGCCCGGGUUAACCGGGAGGAAGGUGGGGAUGACGUCAAAUCAUCAUGCCCCUUAUGUCCAGGGCUACACACGUGCUACAAUGGUGAGUACGGAAAGAUGCAAGACCGUGAGGUGGAGCAAAACUUUUAAAACUCAUCUCAGUUCGGAUUGUAGGCUGAAGCUCGCCUA